UGAUGAAUGAAUAAACUUCAAAAAAUUAAAAAAAAAAAUUAAGAGAUAAACUUAAAUAGACCUUUGUACUUGGGAUCUAUAAAGUGACUGAGUCUUUUUGCCUUUUUACCUUUCAUGGACCACCAAAGAACCUCCCCCUCGGUCCCCAAAGUUACCACAUGGACACCAUCUACAGGUUCUGAUGGGACAGGAAGAGAGGGGAAAAUCUGUCUGCUCCCUGACCCCAUGAAACUCCUGGGUUCAUCUCUAGGCUCUGGUGGAGGAAGGGGGAACUGGCCUCAUUAGCCUUUUCUUGACCUCUGAUUCCUCCUUUCUCUGUUCCUGCCCCGUCCCACAGGGGCUGGUCUGAAAUGUCAUAAAAUCAUGCUUUUUAGCAGGAGUCGCAAUCUGGAGGUCAACUGGACCAGCCAUCCUUGUGUCUGCUGUCUACGCAUUUAGAUUAUCCUUCUACAUAUCUGAGUGCUCAGGAAAUGCAAAUGGCUUGUGAGGAAAUCUCUGGGGUCAGACAUGAGGAUGAAAUCCUUUCUCUAUCAUCUUGAUAGGAUUGCUGUUUGGAUAACUCAAAGAGGUGUAUAAGGACUGAUCCUGAAAGGCUGAAGAACCCAACCUGGUCUCCUAGCAAUGUAGUACCUGAGCUGAACUCCAUCACCUGAAUGGGGUCAGAGGAACUACUGGCUGCAUAGACAUUCAUUCUUUUGGAACCUCAUGUCCAUUGAGAUGUUUGUUUUCCCCAAAUUAAACUGCAGGCCUUGA